rnacentral:rRNA from 1 species
CAGCAGCCGCCACGGUAAUACAGAGGGUGCGAGCGUUAAUCGGAUUUACUGGGCGUAAAGCGUGCGUAGGCGGCUUCUUAAGUCGGAUGUGAAAUCCCUGAGCUUAACUUAGGAAUUGCAUUCGAUACUGGGAAGCUAGAGUAUGGGAGAGGAUGGUAGAAUUCCAGGUGUAGCGGUGAAAUGCGUAGAGAUCUGGAGGAAUACCGAUGGCGAAGGCAGCCAUCUGGCCUAAUACUGACGCUGAGGUACGAAAGCAUGGGGAGCAAACAGGAUUAGAUACCCCCGUAGUCCCUGUCUCUUAUAC